ACGAACGCUGGCGGCGUGCUUAACACAUGCAAGUCGAACGGUGAAGCUCCAGCUUGCUGGAGUGGAUCAGUGGCGAACGGGUGAGUAACACGUGAGCAACCUGCCCCUGACUCUGGAAUAAGCGCUGGAAACGGCGUCUAAUACUGGAUACGAGAAGGGUCCGCAUGGGCACUUUCUGGAAAGUUUUUCGGUUGGGGAUGGGCUCGCGGCCUAUCAGCUUGUUGGUGAGGUAAUGGCUCACCAAGGCGACGACGGGUAGCCGGCCUGAGAGGGCGACCGGCCACACUGGGACUGAGACACGGCCCAGACUCCUACGGGAGGCAGCAGUGGGAAAUAUUGCACAAUGGGCGAAAGCCUGAUGCAGCGACGCCGCGUGAGGGAUGACGGCCUUCGGGUUGUAAACCUCUUUCAGCAGGGAAGAAGCGAAAGUGACGGUACCUGCAGAAGAAGCACCGGCUAACUACGUG
rnacentral:rRNA from 1 species